CUCAAGUACAUGCUGCUCUGCAGAUCAUUGCUCAACGCCCCUGAGGACGUGCAGGCGCUGGUGAGCGGCAAGCUGGCGCUGCGCUACGCAGGGAGGCAGACAGAGGCACUGAAGUGUGUGGCGCAGGCCAGCAAGA